rnacentral:rRNA from 1 species
AUGUCGUCGUGGUCAGGCCUCGCGUUCGUUGUAGCCUCCGCCGUCACAGGCAGUGCGGUGACCCUGGCGGCGUCGGCGUUCUACGAUCUCUACUUCCAGCGCUCGUACGCCUUCGACAUCAUGCCCCCGGAUCUGUCCCCUAGCAGCCGGUACAUCUACACCCGCGCCCAGAACAACGAUAAGGCGGAGCGGGCCAUCACCACCUGCAGCGUGCUCAGCGCCUUGGACGCCGGCAGGGCUGAUCCGGUCAUCGGCCGCGACGACGAGAUUGACCGCGUCAUCUGCAUCCUCUGCCGCCGCACCAAGAACUGCGCGGCGCUUGUCGGCGCCGCGGGGGUCGGUAAGACGGCCAUUGUUGAGGGCCUCGCCCAACGCAUCGCCGCCGGGAACGUCCCGGACAUGCUGGCAAGAGCGUGCAUCCUGGAGCUCGACAUGGGGGCGGUUGUUGCCGGGACAUGCUGGCGUGGCAUGUUCGAGGAGCGCUUGAAAGACGCCAUCAAGCACGCGGAGGAGGCAGGAGGCAAGGAGGCCCCAUUGUCAAAUAUCCUCAAGCUAGCAUUAGCCCGCGGCCGCAUCCGUUGUGUGGGUGCUACCACUUGCGAAGAGUACCACAGGUAUAUCCAGACGGACGCUGCACUUGAGUGCCGGUUCCAGAAGGUUGUCGUCGAGGAGUCAAGCGUGCAGGGAACCAUCACCAUCCUAAAAGGGCUGAAACAGCGGUACCAAGAGCACCAUGGCUUGAAAAUCCAGGACGAUGCUCUCGUUGCUGCAGCACAGCUCGCCGCCUGCUAUAUUACUGGUCGCCAGUUUCCUGACAAGGCGAUUGAUUUGAUUGACGAGGCAUGCUCUACUGCAAAGGUGCAUUUCGACAAGCAGAAAGUGGAAAAUAAUAUAAUUAGCUCUAUAUUUGCACCGAAGGAGUUAACUGUUGGCCCAGAUCAUAUCGCACAGGUUGUCAGUCGAUGCACUAGAAUCCGUCUCACGACACUUGGUCAAGAGGAGAAGGAGAAGGUUGGUUUUGGUCAAUCUAGCCGACCAAUAGGUUCAUUCCUCUUUUUGGGGCCGCUUGGUGUUGGAAAAACAGAACUCGCAAAAGCUCUCGCCGAGAGGAUAUUUGACAAUGAGAAGAUGUUGAUCCGCUUUGAUAUGUCGGAAUAUGCUGAGAGUGGGUCUCUGUCGCGCCUCAUUGGGGGACCUCGAAGCUAUGAAGAAGAUGGACAACUUACCGAGAAAGUCAAGAGGUCUCCAUACAGUGUUGUCCUUUUCGAUCAUGUGGAUAAGGCAGACCCCUCAAUAUUCAAGGUUUUUAUCCAACUCCUUGAUGAUGGAGCAGAGCACCUAACAACAAGAAUGGGCAUAGAAAACACAGUCAAAGCUGGUCGGGGUCUUCUUAUGGGGCAGGUUCUGAAACGCUUGAAGCCUGAACUUAUUGACAGACUGAGUGAGGUUGUGAUAUUUGAGCCGCUUUCACACGACGAACUGAAGGAAAUAUUGAAAAUCCAGAUGAAGGAUGUCAUUGCCACAGUAGCUAACAAGGGCGUCACUCUAUUUAUAACUGAUGCCGCGCAGGAUGUCAUUUUGUCGGAAUCAUACCACCUGGUAAGUGGCGCAAGGCCCAUGAGGAGAUGGGUGGAGAAGAAUGUGACGACAGUUCUUUCAAACAUGCUGGUCAAUGGAGAAGCUUGUGAAGGCUCGACCCUCUCCAUCGAUGCUGCAGAUCUUAACAGGGGGCUGAGGUACCAUGUACUGAAGAAGCAGGGGAGCACAGACCCAUAA